rnacentral:rRNA from 1 species
AUGGCCCCCGCGGCCGCCGUCAUGAUGCGGGCCCACUUCGCUAGCUCCUGCUCGUCAGCCAGCCGGCGGCUCCGCGGGAGGGCGUCUCGCGUCUCGCUCGCUCCCCAGGCGGCCUCGCCGCCGCGCGUUCAUGGGGUCGAUGCUAUGGACCCGAGCUUUCCACGCUCUGUAGAUCAGUGGAGUCUCGAGCUGGAUGUACUGAUUUGGUUAGAAACUGGAGUUACUUUUUUUCGUUCUUGUUUUCAAGCAGAGCAGGGAUCUGGGGCGCCCAUCAGGGGACGAGUCUGGGCGAAGGCCGGUGGUUCGUUCGAGCAAGAUUGCAUUGAGGCGGACGCUUUGAAUCGUUGUAGCUUCACAUCCUCUACUGCUUCCUCGUCUGCACGGCCUUGGUCACCUAUACACGCACGCACCACCGAGCUGCAGGUAAAUGCAAGCAGUGCAAGCAGCGACCCACAGAGCAGUACAACGUUCCAAGAACUUCUUGAGAAGCUCACGGAACUGAUAAGCCACAACUUCUGUAGUGUUGAAUGA